rnacentral:rRNA from 1 species
UACGGAGGGUGCGAGUGUUAUUCGGAAUCACUGGGCGUAAAGAGCACGUAGGCGGAUCGGUAAGUCAGAUGUGAAAUCCCGGAGCUCAACUCCGGAACUGCAUUUGAUACUGCCAGUCUUGAGUGAGGUAGAGGGGGGUGGAAUUCCCGGUGUAGAGGUGAAAUUCGUAGAUAUCGGGAGGAACACCAGAGGCGAAGGCGACCCCCUGGGCCUUUACUGACGCUGAGGUGCGAAAGCGUGGGGAGCAAACAGGAUUAGAAACCCUGGUAGUCC